AGUCUCAGUUCGGAUUGGAGUCUGCAACCCGACUCCAUGAAGCUGGAUUCGCUAGUAAUCGCGCAUCAGCCACGGCGCGGUGAAUACGUUCCCGGGCCUUGUACACACCGCCCGUCAAGCCAUGGAAGCCGGGAGUGCCUGAAGUGCGUGACCGCAAGGAACGCCCUAGGGUAAAACCGGUGACUGGGGCUAAGUCGUAACAAGGUACC
rnacentral:rRNA from 1 species